AUGUGAUAAGUAAUAUGAAUUGCAGAAUCUUGUGAUUCAUCGAAUCUUUAAACGUACAUUGCACCCUAUAGUAUUUCGUAUGGCAUACCGGUCUUAGUGUCAGCUCCCCCAUACUCAAGUCUCUUAAUUGAAGCUUGGAUCACUUUAAAGAAGUGGCUGAAAUACAAUAGGCUACUCUUUAGAAAUUUAUAGGCAGUAUGGCACCUGAACUAAGUGUAAUAAGCAUAUAAAAGCGUCUCUCUUUGGGAAGGUUGUACUUACCUUAACCUACCUAUUUUCUUCUGGGUGACCUCAGAUCAGGUAGGGAUACUUGCUGAACUUAA
rnacentral:rRNA from 1 species